rnacentral:rRNA from 1 species
UAANUCACAGGNGUUGUCCGGAAUUACUGNGUGUANAGGGAGCGCAGCNGGAAUACNACGUUGGAAGUGAAAUCUAUGNGCUCAACCCAUNAACUGCUUUCAAAACUGUCAAUCUGNNGUACCGCAUAGGUAAGCGGNAUUCCUAGUGUACCGNUNAANUGCGUAUAUNUUACGANGAACACCAGUGGCGAAGGCGGCUUACUGGACGGUAACUGACGUUGAGGCUCGAAAGCGUGGGGAGCAAACAGGAUUAGAUACCCUGGUAGUCCACGCCGUANACGAUGACUACUAGGUGUCGGGCAGCANAGCUGUUCGGUGCCGCAGCAAACGCAAUAAGUAGUCCACCUGGGGAGUACGUUCGCAAGAAUGAAACUCAA